rnacentral:rRNA from 1 species
AGAGUUUGAUCCUGGCUCAGGAUGAACGCUAGCGACAGGCUUAACACAUGCAAGUCGAGGGGCAGCGAGGGAGUGGCAACACUUCUGUCGGCGACCGGCGCACGGGUGAGUAACGCGUAUGCAACCUACCCUUCACAGGGGGAUAACCGGGAGAAAUUCCGACUAAUACCGCAUACGUCCUCCGGGGGCAUCCCCGGGGGAUGAAAGAAUUAUCGGUGAAGGAUGGGCAUGCGUGAUAUUAGGUAGUUGGCGGGGCAACGGCCCACCAAGCCCACGAUAUCUAGGGGUUCUGAGAGGAAGGUCCCCCACAUUGGUACUGAGACACGGACCAAACUCCUACGGGAGGCAGCAGUGAGGAAUAUUGGUCAAUGGACGAGAGUCUGAACCAGCCAAGUCGCGUGAAGGAAGACGGAUCUAUGGUUUGUAAACUUCUUUAGUGCGGGAACAAAGCGGUGUCGUGACGCCGGAUGAGUGUACCGCAAGAAUAAGCAUCGGCUAACUCCGUGCCAGCAGCCGCGGUAAUACGGAGGAUGCGAGCGUUAUCCGGAUUUAUUGGGUUUAAAGGGAGCGCAGGCUGCGAGGCAAGUCAGCGGUCAAAUGUCGGGGCUCAACCCCGGCCUGCCGUUGAAACUGUCUUGCUAGAGUUCGAGUGAGGUAUGCGGAAUGCGUUGUGUAGCGGUGAAAUGCAUAGAUAUGACGCAGAACUCCGAUUGCGAAGGCAGCAUACCAACUCGCGACUGACGCUGAGGCUCGAAAGCGUGGGUAUCGAACAGGAUUAGAUACCCUGGUAGUCCACGCAGUAAACGAUGAAUACUAACUGUUCGGAGGGCGACCUCUGAGUGGUAAAGCGAAAGCGUUAAGUAUUCCACCUGGGGAGUACGCCGGCAACGGUGAAACUCAAAGGAAUUGACGGGGGC